rnacentral:rRNA from 1 species
AAAGACGAGAAGACCCUUAGAAUUUUUAUUAUAGAUUAACUAAUGUUUUUAUUGGGGCGAUAGAGAAACAAUUAGAACUUUCUUUAAAAUCUGCCGAUUGUGUUAUGAGAGAAUAAAUUACCUGAGGGAUAACAGCAUUAUUUUAUAAUUAAGUUUGUGACCUCGAUGUUGGACUAGGAAACUAAUAGGCUAGCCGUUUAUUAUGUUGGUUCUGUUCGAACUUAUAUUCCU